rnacentral:rRNA from 1 species
GGCGAGUGAGCGGCAAAAGCUCAAAUUUGAAAUCUAGCACCUUCGGUGUUCGAGUUGUAAUUUGAAGAUGGUAACCUUGGGUUUGGCUCUUGUCUAUGUUCCUUGGAACAGGACGUCAUAGAGGGUGAGAAUCCCGUCUGAUGAGAUGCCCAUUCCUAUGUAAGGUGCUAUCGAAGAGUCGAGUUGUUUGGGAAUGCAGCUCUAAGUGGGUGGUAAAUUCCAUCUAAAGCUAAAUAUUGGCGAGAGACCGAUAGCGAACAAGUACAGUGAUGGAAAGAUGAAAAGAACUUUGAAAAGAGAGUGAAAAAGUACGUGAAAUUGUUGAAAGGGAAGGGCAUUAGAUCAGACUUGGUGUUUUACGAUUAUCUUCUCUUCUUGAGUUGUGCACUCGUAUUUCACUGGGCCAGCAUCGAUUCGGAUGGCAAGAUAAUGGCAGUUGAAUGUGGCUUCACUUCGGUGGAGUGUUAUAGCUUCUGCUGAUAUUGCCUGUCUGGAUCGAGGGCUGCGUCUUUUGACUAGGAUGCUGGCGUAAUGAUCUAAUGCCGCCCGU